UACGAAGGGGGCUAGCGUUGCUCGGAAUCACUGGGCGUAAAGGGCGCGUAGGCGGCUUUGUAAGUCGGGGGUGAAAGCCUGUGGCUCAACCACAGAAUUGCCUUCGAUACUGCAUGGCUUGAGACCGGAAGAGGUAAGUGGAACUGCGAGUGUAGAGGUGAAAUUCGUAGAUAUUCGCAAGAACACCAGUGGCGAAGGCGGCUUACUGGUCCGGUUCGUGACGCUGAGG
rnacentral:rRNA from 1 species